CGAUGAUGCAUAGCCCGAGUUGAGAGACUGAUCGGGCCACAUUGGGGACUGAGACACGGGCCCAAAACUCCGUACGGGGAGGCAGCAGUAGGGAAUCUUCCACAAUGGACGCAAGUCUGAUGGAGCAACGCCGCGUGAGUGAAGUAAGGUUUUCGGAUACGUAAAGCUCUGUUGUUGGUGAAGAAGGAUAGAGGUAGUAACUGGCCUUUUAUUUGACGGUAAUCAACCAGAAGUCACGGCUAACUACGUGCCAGCAGCCGCGGUAAU
rnacentral:rRNA from 1 species